UACGGAGGGUGCGAGCGUUGUCCGGAAUCAUUGGGCGUAAAGGGCGCGUAGGUGGCCCGGUCAGUCUUUGGUGAAAGCGCGGGGCUCAACCCUGCGUCGGCCAGGGAUACUGCCGCGGCUCGAGCACUGUAGAGGCAGGCGGAAUUCCGGGUGUAGCGGUGGAAUGCGUAGAGAUCCGGAAGAACACCGGUGGCGAAGGCGGCCUGCUGGGGAGUUUGGCUGACACUGAGGCGCGACAGCGUGGGGAGCAAACAGG
rnacentral:rRNA from 1 species